rnacentral:rRNA from 1 species
UCGAGCGAGGACUUCGGUUCUAGCGGCGGACGGGUGAGUAACGCGUGGGAAUGUGCCCUUCUCUACGGAAUAGCCCUGGGAAACUGGGAGUAAUACCGUAUACGCCCUAUUGGGGAAAGAUUUAUCGGAGAAGGAUCAGCCCGCGUUGGAUUAGGUAGUUGGUGGGGUAAUGGCCUACCAAGCCGACGAUCCAUAGCUGGUUUGAGAGGAUGAUCAGCCACACUGGGACUGAGACACGGCCCAG